UACGUAGGGCGCAAGCGUUAUCCGGAAUUACUGGGCGUAAAGCGAGCGUAGUCGGUUAUUUAAGUCGGGUGUGAAAGCCCCGGGCUCAACCUGGGAAUUGCAUUCGAUACUGGAUAGCUAGAGUUCGGCAGAGGGAAGCGGAAUUUCCGGUGUAGCGGUGAAAUGCGUAGAUAUCGGAAGGAACAUCAGUGGCGAAAGCGGCUUCCUGGACCAGAACUGACGAUCAGGCUCGAAAGCGUGGGGAGCAAACAGG
rnacentral:rRNA from 1 species